rnacentral:rRNA from 1 species
UUAGGAAUCUUCCACAAUGGGCGCAAGCCUGAUGGAGCGACGCCGCGUGAGGGAUGAAGGUUUUCGGAUCGUAAACCUCUGAAUCAGGGACGAAAGACCAGCUUGACUGGAGAUGACGGUACCUGAGUAAUAGCACCGGCUAACUCCGUGCCAGCAGCCGCGGUAAUACGGAGGGUGCAAGCGUUACCCGGAAUCACUGGGCGUAAAGGGCGUGUAGGCGGCUGAGUCAGUCCGACUUUAAAGACCGAAGCUCAACUUCGGGCCUGGGUUGGAUACUGCUGAGCUAGACGGAUGGAGAGGUCACUGGAAUUCCUGGUGUAGCGGUGGAAUGCGUAGAUACCAGGAGGAACACCAACGGCGAAGGCAGGUGACUGGACAUUUUGUGACGCUGAGGCGCGAAAGUGUGGGGAGCAAACCG